rnacentral:misc_RNA from 1 species
AUCAUCUCCUUCUCGCCUCUUCAUUGUUUGGUUCGAGGACUUGCUCGGCCAAAGUCGGUUAUCCUGUGCUGCGUACCUCUCGAAGGCAUCAUGUUGGCUAAAACUGUCGCAUUUUCCUUUGUGUUCCGCCCCCUCACGGGGAUGCGGUGCGCGUUGGACCUCAAGGCAAUGGCCGUGCGUCCCACCGUCUUCAUCCCGAUGGUUGUUUUCGGUUGUUGAUCCACGGCGCAUUGCUUGUUAUCUAGGGUGUGGAAUAUCUUAGUGGGUUCGGGGUCUAACGCCUCCGUGACCACAUCGAAAAGCGUUCUACGCUUCGUGCGAACGACCGCUGGCCCGAUCUCUUGCCGUUCUCUCGCAGCACGGUUGGGGUCGAUCCGGUGUCGG